AUACGUAGGGUGCGAGCGUUAAUCGGAAUUACUGGGCGUAAAGUGUGCGCAGGCGGCCGCGCAAGUCGAGUGUGAAAUCCCCGGGCUUAACUUGGGAAUUGCGCUCGAAACUACGUGGCUGGAGUGUGGCAGAGGAAGGUGGAAUUCCACGUGUAGCGGUGAAAUGCGUAGAGAUGUGGAGGAACACCGAUGGCGAAGGCAGCCUUCUGGGCCAACACUGACGCUCAUGCACGAAAGCGUGGGGAGCAAACA
rnacentral:rRNA from 1 species